rnacentral:rRNA from 1 species
GACGAACGCUGGCGGCGUGCCUAACACAUGCAAGUCGAACGGGGUAAUUCCUUCGGGGAUUACUUAGUGGCGAACGGGUGAGUAACGCGUGAGGAACCUGCCUUUCAGUGGGGGACAACAGUUGGAAACGACUGCUAAUACCGCAUAAUGUUGUCGGAUGGCAUCAUCUGGCAACCAAAGCUUUAUGUGCUGAAAGAUGGCCUCGCGUCUGAUUAGGUAGUUGGUGAGGUAACGGCUCACCAAGUCAACGAUCAGUAGCCGGACUGAGAGGUUGAACGGCCACAUUGGGACUGAGAUACGGCCCAGACUCCUACGGGAGGCAGCAGUGGGGAAUAUUGGGCAAUGGGGGAAACCCUGACCCAGCAACGCCGCGUGAAGGAAGAAGGCCUUCGGGUUGUAAACUUCUUUUAGCAGGGACGAAGGACGUGACGGUACCUGCAGAAAAAGCAACGGCUAACUACGUGCCAGCCGCCGCCGUAACAC